rnacentral:tRNA from 1 species
UUGAAUAAAUCUAUUAUAGAAUUUAAUUUCGACUUAAAACUUUGAUUUUCAUUAAUCUAUUCUUA